AAUAAGGAUCGGCUAACUACGUGCCAGCAGCCGCGGUCAUACGUAGGAUCCGAGCAUUAUCCGGAGUGACUGGGCGUAAAGAGUUGCGUAGGUGGUUUGUUAAGUGAGUAGUGAAAGUUAGCGGCUCAACCGUUGAACUAUUAUUCAAACUGACAGACUUGAGAGUGUCAUGGGAAGCUGGAAUUUCUAGUGUAGGAGUGAAAUCCGUAGAUAUUAGAAGGAACACCAAUAGCGUAGGCAGGCUUCUGGGACAUUUCUGACGCUAAGGCACGAAAGCGUGGGGAGCAAACGGGAUUAGAUACCCCGGUAGUCCACGCCGUAAACGAUGGAUGCUAGCUGUGGGGGGUAUCGACCCCUUCCGUAGCGAAGCUAACGCGUUAAGCAUCCCGCCUGUGUAGUACGAUCGCAAGAUUAAAACAUAAAGGAAUUGACGGGGACCCGCACAAGCGGUGGAUCAUGUUCUUUAAUUCGAUGGUAAACGAUAAACCUUACCAGGGCUUGACAUCUUUCGGAAUCUUUCUGAAAGGAAAGAGUGCUUUUUAAGAACCGAUAGACAGAUGAUGCAUGGCCGUCUUCAGCUCGUGUCGUGAGAUGUUUGGUUAAGUCCAUCAACGAGCGCAGCCCUUGUCUUCAGUUGAAUUUUUCUGGAGAAACUGCCCCGGUAACGGGGAGGAAGGAGGGGACGAUGUCAGGUCAGUAUUUCUCUUACGUCCUGGGCUAGAAACGUGAUACAAUGGUUGGUACAAUGCGAAGCAAAGCCGCGAGGUGAAGCAAAUCGCACCAAAGCCAAUCCCAGUUCAGAUUAGAGGCUGAAACUCGCCUCUAUGAAGUCGGAAUCGCUAGUAAUCGCAGAUCAGCAUGUUGCGGUGAAUACGUUCCCGGGUCUUGUACA
rnacentral:rRNA from 1 species